rnacentral:rRNA from 1 species
UGCUCCCUGAUGUUAGCGGCGGACGGGUGUAGUAACACGUGGGUAACCUGCCUGUAAGACUGGGAUAACUCCGGGAAACCGGGGCUAAUACCGGAUGGUUGUUUGAACCGCAUGGUUCAGACAUAAAAGGUGGCUUCGGCUACCACUUACAGAUGGACCCGCGGCGCAUUAGCUAGUUGGUGAGGUAACGGCUCACCAAGGCGACGAUGCGUAGCCGACCUGAGAGGGUGAUCGGCCACACUGGGACUGAGACACGGCCCAGACUCCUACGGGAGGCAGCAGUAGGGAAUCUUCCGCAAUGGACGAAAGUCUGACGGAGCAACGCCGCGUGAGUGAUGAAGGUUUUCGGAUCGUAAAGCUCUGUUGUUAGGGAAGAACAAGUGCCGUUCAAAUAGGGCGGCACCUUGACGGUACCUAACCAGAAAGCCACGGCUAACUACGUGCCAGCAGCCGCGGUAAUACGUAGGUGGCAAGCGUUGUCCGGAAUUAUUGGGCGUAAAGGGCUCGCAGGCGGUUUCUUAAGUCUGAUGUGAAAGCCCCCGGCUCAACCGGGGAGGGUCAUUGGAAACUGGGGAACUUGAGUGCAGAAGAGGAGAGUGGAAUUCCACGUGUAGCGGUGAAAUGCGUAGAGAUGUGGAGGAACACCAGUGGCGAAGGCGACUCUCUGGUCUGUAACUGACGCUGAGGAGCGAAAGCGUGGGGAGCGAACAGGAUUAGAUACCCUGGUAGUCCACGCCGUAAACGAUGAGUGCUAAGUGUUAGGGGGUUUCCGCCCCUUAGUGCUGCAGCUAACGCAUUAAGCACUCCGCCUGGGGAGUACGGUCGCAAGACUGAAACUCAAAGGAAUUGACGGGGGCCCGCACAAGCGGUGGAGCAUGUGGUUUAAUUCGAAGCAACGCGAAGAACCUUACCAGGUCUUGACAUCCUCUGACAAUCCUAGAGAUAGGACGUCCCCUUCGGGGGCAGAGUGACAGGUGGUGCAUGGUUGUCGUCAGCUCGUGUCGUGAGAUGUUGGGUUAAGUCCCGCAACGAGCGCAACCCUUGAUCUUAGUUGCCAGCAUUCAGUUGGGCACUCUAAGGUGACUGCCGGUGACAAACCGGAGGAAGGUGGGGAUGACGUCAAAUCAUCAUGCCCCUUAUGACCUGGGCUACACACGUGCUACAAUGGACAGAACAAAGGGCAGCGAAACCGCGAGGUUAAGCCAAUCCCACAAAUCUGUUCUCAGUUCGGAUCGCAGUCUGCAACUCGACUGCGUGAAGCUGGAAUC